AGUGGGGAAUAUUGCACAAUGGGCGCAAGCCUGAUGCAGCCAUGCCGCGUGUGUGAAGAAGGCCUUCGGGUUGUAAAGCACUUUCAGCGGGGAGGAAGGGUUACUAGUUAAUACCUAGUAGCAUUGACGUUACUCGCAGAAGAAGCACCGGCUAACUCCGUGCCAGCAGCCGCGGUAAUACGGAGGGUGCAAGCGUUAAUCGGAAUUACUGGGCGUAAAGCGCACGCAGGCGGUUUGUUAAGUCAGAUGUGAAAUCCCCGAGCUCAACUUGGGAACUGCAUUUGAAACUGGCAAGCUAGAGUCUUGUAGAGGGGGGUAGAAUUCCAGGUGUAGCGGUGAAAUGCGUAGAGAUCUGGAGGAAUACCGGUGGCGAAGGCGGCCCCCUGGACAAAGACUGACGCUCAGGUGCGAAAGCGUGGGGAGCAAA
rnacentral:rRNA from 1 species